rnacentral:tRNA from 1 species
GCCCGAGUAGCUCAGUUGGCAGAGCAGCUGUCUUGUAAACAGCAGGUCGCAGGUUCGAUUCCUGUCUCGGGCU